rnacentral:lncRNA from 1 species
CCGUCAACACCGCUUCGUACAGCCGAACUCUGAUACACGCUGCCACGCGGGCAAACCCCGAAAACACGCCCAGCCAGUCACAGAGACCUGUCGACACAACUCCGUGCCCAGGGGAUGUCCUGGAGGGGCACGUCAGGGCUCAGGGCCAGUGGAAAUGUGCCACGGUUAGACUGGUCGCGGCUGCGCACUGAAUGUGCCGGGAGGAACGGAACGGUAGACUAAUGGAGCGCUAGACGUGAGGGUGCACCCCGCCAGCGUCAGCAAGACAGCUGCUCCCAAUGGUAGGCCGGGCAACCCACUCACGGCUCCUACAGCACCUCCUCUCUGCCGGCCUCAGGCGGCUCUGGAAGAAUGAUGCCCUAAUAUACCGCGCUGCCCUCCAGGUGGGGGUGGGGGUGGACGGAGACAGGCAGGAGUAACCAGUGCUACUCUCCCAGCUCAAACCCCACACGAAGGCAGACCCAGCGUUUGCAAAACACCAGCCCCCGGUGAACAAGUCGACCUGCUGUGCAGCCCACCUCUGACUCCGUUUCCCCCAGCGUACCCAGCCACAUUGGGAGGCUCCACCUCGGUCUAACGCUCCGGCAUUAGCAGGACCUGCUGAAUGAGUGGCGCCGGGCCCAUCCAUCUCUGCCAUCGCUGCUCAGCCCUCUGCCAUGUUCAAAUAUCACACAGUCCCCAGGUACCUCGUAAAUCACUGUAAUUACGGGCUGCUCACUUAAAAUUAAACUGCAAUUUUUUAAAAAGCAAAUUGCCAGUAA